GCCAGGGUAGCUCAGUUGGUUCAGAGCACUUGAUUCAUACCCAAGAGGUCGGGAGUUCGAGCCUCCCCCCUGGUA
rnacentral:tRNA from 2 species